rnacentral:rRNA from 1 species
UAAGAGGUCCUGCCUGCCCUGUGACAACUUGUUUAACGGCCGCGGUAUUUUGACCGUGCAAAGGUAGCGCAAUCACUUGUCUUUUAAAUAGAGACCUGUAUGAAUGGCAAAACGAGGGCUUAACUGUCUCCUUUUUCAAGUCAAUGAAAUUGAUCUCCCCGUGCAGAAGCGGGGAUAAGAACAUAAGACGAGAAGACCCUGUGGAGCUUUAAAUGUUAAGACAGACCGCAUCAACCUUAACCCAAGCGUUCCCCUGUCCUGAUGUUUUUGGUUGGGGCGACCCCGGGGUAAAAAACAACCCCCACGUGGACUGGGAGUUUAACUCCUAGAAGCUAGAGGCCCUCCUCUAACUAACAGAAUAUUUGACCAAUCAGAUCCGGCCAAUGGCCGAUCAACGGACCCAGUUACCCCAGGGAUAACAGCGCAAUCCCCUUCGAAAGACCCUAUCAACAAGGGGGUUUACGACCUCGAUGUUGGAUCAGGACAUCCUACUGGUGCAGCCGCUAGUAAGGGUUCGUUUGUUCAACG